ensembl:lncRNA
GAAUCCUAGUUGUGAUCACAGUCUGCCUUCACAACCCACACUAAAAAGAUGAGUUCUUCAUAGAAGAAUCAAGAUGGCCUAGUUAGAGGCUGAUCUUCUAGAGAGGAGCUCUGUGGAGAAGGACUUGAAUAUCCUAGUGGACAGCAGGUUGACCAUGAGCCAGAAGUGUGCCCCUGUGGCCAAGAAGGUCAAAGAUAUCCUGGGGUACAAUAAAAGAAGUGUGGCCAGAAGGUUGAGGGAAAUGAUCCUCCCACUCUACCCUGCCGCGCAGAGUGCACGUCUGGACUACUGCAUCCAUUUCUGGGCUCCUCAGUUCAAGAAAGACAGUGAACUUCUAGACAGAGUCCAGCACAGAACCACAACAAUAUUUAGUGGCCUGGAACAUCUCUCUUGUGAGGAAAGUUGUUGCAAUUGGACUGAAGCGAUUGCUGAUAGGAGAACAGACUGACAGAAGAACUCACUGAGAGCAGCUCUGUGGAGAAGGACUCGGGGGUCCUGAUGAAUGAAAAGCUGGACACAAGCUAUCAGUGUGCACUUGCAGCCCAGAAGGACAACUAUAUCCUGGGCUGUAUCAAAAGAGGAGUGAGCCAGCAGAGUGAGGGAGAGGAUUGUCCCCCUCUACUCUGCCUUUGUGAUGUCCCACCUGGAGUACUGUGUGCAUGCCUGGGGCCCCUACUACAAGAACAAUGGGGGGCUGUUGGCGUGGGUCCAGAGAAUGGCCAUUGAGAUGAUCAGAGGCCUGGAGCACCCGUCCUGUGAAGAAAGGUUGAGGGAGUGGGGCUUGUUUAGCUUGGGGAAGAGAGGACUAUGGGGAGAUCUCAUUACGGUCUUCCAGUACCUGAAGGGAGCUAACAAGCAGUCUUCUUUCACAGUCUGAUAGUGACAAGACAAGGGGGAAUGCCUAGAAACUAAAUGAGAGUAGAUUUAGGUUAGCUUCUAGGAAGAAAUUUUUUACUCAGAGGAUUGUGAAGUGUUGGAAACAUAUGUUGCCCAGAAGGGUUAUGGAUGCCCCAUCCCUGGAGGUAUUGAAGGCCAGAUUGGCUACCGCCCUGGGUAACCUUAACUGGUGGCUGGCAGGGUUGUCAACCUAAGCCAUUCCAUGAUUCUAUGAUCCUAUGAAAGGCCAAGAGACCUUGGACUAUUAAGCCUAAAUAAGAGAAGACUGAGGGAGGAUCUUAUCAAUGCUUUAAAUAUCUACAGGGCAGGAGUCAAGUGGAUGGGGCCAGGCUCCUUUUGGCAAUGCCCAGUGACAGGACAAUGGGCAAUGGGCACAGACUAAAACACAGGAAGUUCCAUCUGAACAUGAGAAAAAACAACUUUUUUUGGAGGGUGACAGAGCACUGGAAAAGCUGCCCAGAGAAGUUUUGGAGCCUCCUUUUACAGAGAUACUCAGAAGUCUCCCAAAUGCUUUCCUGUGUAAUUACCUCUAGGCAACAUGCUUUAGCGGAGGUGUUGGUCUAGAUUAUCUCCAAAGAUCCCUUCUAACCCCUAUGGUUCUGUGAUUUUGAGAUUUUUAGGCAUUGGCAAAGUACUAAUAGUGAAGGACAAAUUUUCAUAGUGAAAAUUCUGGAAAGCUGGAGCAAAUUAUUGAGAAUGUAUUUUCUUUGUAUAAAAUAUUUAGAUGUCCCUUAUCUUUCAAAUCAUUGUUGCUUGACAGUCACUGUACAGUGAUUUAAAUAAAUAUGACAAACUGCGCUAUUACCCACACAGUAGGGAUAACACAGUUGGAGGUAUAAUUCCUCCAUCAUAUAUUCUAGCUCAAAGGUUGGUGUGCAGAAUUAACUCCAGUUACAUAUACAAAUCUGGAGCAUGACCUUGUGUGACUGAGGUGCAGGCUAUAUCAUUCUUUGAUUAUCCCUGCAUCAGAAAUAGUAACUUCAGGAAAUUCUGUAAGGUUGAGAGACAGCAAUGAUGACUUGUUUAACACUCAUAACAUUCAGCAGGGCUGGUCUGGAAGACCAUCAAAAUACAUAAAUAAGUGAUAACCUUCAAAAGAGAUGUUACGCAUUUCUGAACAUAAGGUAACAGGAUGUGUAACUAUAAAAUUCUUCUUGUUUAGGAUUGUGAGAGAUGAUACAGUUUUAGGUGCUGGAAUGAAAAGGCUUUGACAUAAGCAGAGAAUGAUUUUGAGGGAGAUAAGGUGUCUUUCACCUGUUUUUAUUAAACUGUGAAAUUAUUUACUAUUGUAUAUAGGAAAGACUGGUAGUGGGGGUGUGGUUUGUAUGGGUGGCAGAGGGAAAACCAAUUUCAGAGGGGAGGAAGCAGGAGGAGGCAGUCCAUGGCAGAGGAUACAGUCACUGUAGUCCAGGGAGAGCCCGCACUGGCACAGAUUUUUCCUGACAAGAGCUGAAAUCCUAACAAAAACUCAGAAGGGAAUAGAUUCCACAGCCCCCCCCCCCCCCCCCCCCCCGCCAAGGAACUACAGCUUAUGGAUAACUGACUAACCCACAAUGGAACAGGGAAAAUGCGUUAGGAAAUUGGAAAUAAGUCUUGUUUAAUGCUUUUUUUUUUUUUUUUUUUUUUUUUCCUGCUACCAGGGAAAGGUCACAAAGUUGAUCAGAGGGCUGGAACAUUUCCCCUGUAAGGACAGGCUGAGAAAGCUGAGGUUGUUCAGUCUGGAGAAGAGAGGAGGGCCUACAGAAAUUCUGGGGUGAGAUAUUUUAUAAGGGCGUGUAGCAACAGGAUGUAGGAAAAUGGCUAUAAAAUGGAAGAGAGUAGAUUUAGACUAGUCAUAAGGAAGAAUAUAAGAAAUUAUAAGGAAGAAGUUUUUCUCUGUGAGAGUAAUGAGACACUGGAACAGGUUGCUCAGAGACAUUGUGGGUGUCCCCUCCCAGGAGGUGUUCAAGGCCACACUAGAUGGGGCUUUGAGCAACCUGGUCUAGCAGGAGGUGUCCUUGUCCAUGGCAAGGGUUAGAACAACACAUUCUCUAAGGUCCCUUCCAACACAUACCAUUCUGUGAUUCUAUGAAAAUUAGUAAUGACAUUUUUAUUUUACUUGGCAACAAAUUCACCACAUCAAGAUGUUUUGCCUGCAGUGGUAGUUAGAAAGCAAUCUACCUGUCUUAAUCUUGAUCCUUCUUGUUCUUUCUGCUUUCUAAUCCCAUCCUACUGCAGGAGGAAUUAAGUAAGCAGCUAAGUAAGCAUUUGGCUUUUAGCCAAGUCUAACCCAUCUUGUUGCUCUUAAGAAUUUCUGCCUUGUUCUUGCCUCCUAAAUAUUUAGUCAUCAGGUCCAGUUUCCACCUUGGACAUGUCAAUAUUCCUGCAAAGUACAACUAAUUUUGUAAGUAAGUGUAAAUAAGUUCAAAGUGAUCUUGAAAAUUUAAACUCAAAGGUACUUUUUUCUUUUUCUUUUUCUUUUUUAUUUUAAUAGCAGAUAGGCUAGGCUAUGCUCUAUGCUUGCCUAGAAGAUUUUAUCAGGAUUUAGAAACAUUAGAGACACUUCAACCCACUUUCUCCUCUUCCUUUUGUGACACACUUUAGUUUUUGUCACAUAUAAAAUGGAAUAAAAAUCAUCAAUAGUACUAAAAUGAAUGUCUGUCUAAGAAUUACCAUUUCUGAUGCAGUUGAUGUAGCACAUGUAAAAAGUAUAUUUUGCUUUGGUCUGAUGGAAAUGUGCAUCUGAUUUAGAAUAAUUUGUCUUGCUACUUGAGCAAACAAAAUGUAAUUAAGUUGCCUAUAACAGCUAAGAAUAAUAGCUUCUCAUUAAUAUUGUUACCUGGGUGUUAAAAAACCUAAAGCAAGGCAAAUGUAAUGAAUUUAGCAAGUUAACAGAAUUGCCUUUUUUUUUUUUUAAGCAAUCUUUUCAUGCCACUGUAUUUGAGAUGGUGUCAGCAUUGCUAUUAUAAAUAAUUUAAGCAUUUAUAACUCAGUAAGAGAAGAGCACUAGUUCAGUCACAUUCUAAAUGAGUUAUUUGCUCAAUAUGUCUUCAAGGCUUAAGGGAACAUAAGAUAAAACUUACAUUUUCCUCUAGGGGCAUUAGUAAUUAAGCUAGAUAUUCAACUUUAACCAGACAAUUAAAAAAGGUUCCUCAGUGCUACUUUGAAUGCAAAGUUUGUCUAAACAUGAUGUACUUACAUGCAGGAUAGGAUGAUUUUGGGAGGUAUUCCAAGAACAGAAACAGCAGUGACUAUCACUGCUUGUCAAAUAAUGAAUAAUAAGAGUUGUCCUGCAGAGGACAAGUGAGAGGUCAGAGGAAGAAGAUAGCUUUUUUUCUUUUGUUAACGGACGGUGCAAAAAUUCUAUGUUACCAUUCGGAUGGAGAAAAUAUAAGAUAUUGUUCUAGGCCCCUUUCCAAAAAAGCACUUAUACUUUCAUUUGUGUGGUAGUGAACAGUCUUGCUGAUUUCAGCCACUUUUCACAUGGCUAAAUUGAAGCACACACUUACAGAACUGUUGGAUUGUUGCUGAGACAGAUGCAUACUUAGGAAGCAAAAGAGCAGUAAGGUUGAAAUUAGUAAUUCAGUCACAACACUAGCAUCAUUCUCAUGAUGCAUAAAAGCAUUAUUUUUCAACAUUCACUUCUCUUUCUGAAGGACUGGAAACAAAUAGCAGGUAAUAAUCAGAACAGUUUAAAUCUGCAGUUUAGUAAUUCAAAUCUUAUAUGAUAAUUUUUUGCAUUCUCACUCUUGUGCCAAAUUAAAAGUUUUGAAAUAGAAUUAAUGGAGUUAGAAUUCACAUGAGAAUUUGUUAAUUGCUGUGAUAAAAAUAAUGAGAUUGACAGGCUUGAGAACUGGGCCCUAAUGAGGUUCAACAAGGGCAAGUGUAAGGACUUGGGGGGUCCUGGUGGAUGAGAAGCUGGACAUGAGCCAAUAGUAUGCAUAUGCAGCCCAGAGGGCCAACUGUAUUCGGGGCUGCAUUAAAAAAGGAGUGGCCAGAAGGGAUAGGGAGGUAAUUGUCCCCUUCUACUCAGCUCUUGUGAGACUGCCUGAACCCAUCUUUGGCUUUGGCUUUGGCUCAAAGCUUGCUUUCUGAGGCAUUUCUUGUGAUAAGACUCUUACUUAUCUAGGAGAUGAGAGGUGCUGUGUGGCAGUGGGCAUCACUGUGUGGACUAUUUUACAUUUGAAAACAUUUCUUUGGAGCUGUUUGCCUUCUGAAGAGAAUGCUCAGGACUGUUUUCUGGCGGAAGAUCUGUCCUGUGACCAAAUAACUCCAGAUUGCUAUGGCAGACUGGGGGGAUGAUACCAUUGUAUCCUGUGAAGGCAAGAAAUAAGGGGUUGCCUCCCUGCUCCCUCUUGUCUGCUGGCAAGGCCCAGAAGAUGGGAACAAAAGGAGUUCCUGCUGUGAUCCAAAAGCCAGCAGCUGUCACUACAAAAGGAGCUGACUAGGCCACUUUGGACUUAUAAAUAAGCUUGUACUGACAUUGGAAAGAGUCGUUGUCAUCGUCGCUGUCAUUAUCGUCAAACGAACAACAACCCCUGAUGACCCAUCACUACUGAAGAUCAACAUCUGAACUACGAGCAGUGCUGGAAUCCAUGGUGCUAGACAGAGGCCCCAUCUGGAGUACUGCAUCCAUGUGUGAGGCGCCCAGCACAAGAAAGACGCAGAGCUCUUGGAACAGGUCCAGAGGAGGACCACUAAGAUGAUCAGAGGGCUGGAGCACCUAUGAAGAAAAGUUGAGGGAACUGGGCUUGUUUAGCUUGGAGAAGAGAAGGCUCCAGGGAGACCUCCCUGUGGCCUUCCAGUACUUAAAGGGAGAGUAUAAACAGGAGGGGGUACAACUGUUUACAUGGGUCGAUAGUGACAUGACAAGGGCAAUAGUUUUAAACUAAUACAGGGGGAAUUUAGGUUAAAUAUUAGGAGGAAGUUUUUCACUCAGAGGGUGGUGAUGCACUGGAACAGGUUGCCCAAGGAGGUAGUGGAUGCCCCAUCUCUGGAGGCAUUCAAGGCAAGGAUAGGUGUGCCUCUGGUCUAGUCAUUGGUGACCUUGCCCAUGGCAGGGGGGAUGAAGCUAGAUGAUCUUUGAGGUCUUUUUCAAUCUAGGCCGAUCUGUGAUUCUAUGUUUUGCAGUAGAUGAGCUACUGCUGGACAAUUUCUGCAUGUAUCAUUUUUAAAAGAAUUUACACUGAUUACAUCAGAACAUUCAGUCUUUCUUGACAGUCUUUUUUCUUGUUAUUGGCAGGGCAGUAAUUACUACAUAAAAAUAUGUAUGUAGGAACAGAGAACACUUUAAGAACUUUGUUAUGAGGUAAAUACUAGGCAAAAAAUAUAAAAGGAGAAUUUGUAAUGAGCACAUCCGAUAAUACACAAAAAGUAUAUUUUCUUCUUUUUUUUUCCUCCCUCUCCUAAUGAGGUUCUGAAUAAAAUCAUUUAAAAAUGAUCCUUCCUUUUGUGUUAAGAAAGAGAGCUUCUUCUAUCGCAUGUCCAUAUCACUUGAAGUACUACUCUAGGUAUUCAAAUGAUUCCAAUCCCUUGAAAUCAGCAUGAGCAGAUAGAAGGCAAACCUGAUGAAGAGCUCGUUAGGCAAUCUCAGAAAAGAUUUUGAAGUGAUAAACUAUUUUUGCUGUUUUCACAAAUUUUCAGGUAUAAAGUCCUAGGUUCUGUUUCACAUGGAGCAGACAAAUCACCUGGGAAGCUGAUGCCCUUUGAUGAAGAGAAAGCCUCUAAGACUUUCUUUAACUCUGCAUCAAUUCAUAGGAAAGAAGUUUUGGAACCAUGGCUCAUAGAGCUUUUAACCUUUUGUGGAGACUGCCUGAUGAGGUUCUGCACAGAUGCCUUUAUGGAAUGAGAGAAGUUCUAUGAGAGAGAGAAGAACAUUUCAGCUUCUUGUGCUGCCCUGCCAGUGAGGAGACGGGGGGUGCAAAGAAGCUGAGGUGGGACAGAACCAGGACAGCUGACCCAAAAUGUCCAAAGGAAUAUCCUAUACCAUAUGACAUAGUUCUGACAAUAAAACUGGGAGACUGAGUGAGCUGUGUCGUGCUGAGCUGCCUGCCAGGGUUAAACCACAGCAGUAGUGCACCCAACAGAGGACUGGAAGAGUUUGAGAUUAUGACAGAUUUGACUGGAGUAUGGAGCGUGCUACACCAAAUGCAUAGUUGUUAUACUCUUCAGCUGCUAAUUGGUAUGCUCCCGCAGUUUUCCUGGGUCUUGCUUGCCUUACUGUAUUUUGGAGUCUACUAUCUGUUAGUGGAUGCUUUUGCUCUGUCUUCCCUCUCCACUUUCUACUUUCCACUCUCCCCUCUCCUCAGAAAACAAACAAACAAUAAUAGUAAUAAUAAUAGUAAUAGUAAUAAAACAAAACAAACAAACAAAACAAAACAAAACAAAAAAACCCGGAGGUUUUUAAUCAGUAGAUGGCAGUAAGAGCUAGCAAGAAGCCUGAAAGGGAGUCUCACAGACCUACACAUUAAUCAUACAUAUAGCAAAUUCCACAAAGUACAAGCCGACAAAGACCCUGCUUUACCACAAUCAAUCUUUAUUCACCACUAGAUUACAGUGGUUAGAUAUAUUUGAUUGCCACAGGUCCAAGAAAAAGCUUAUAAAUAACUAUAAAUGUAAUCGGCUUAAAUUUUUGCCAUUGUAUUUUUUGGUUUUAUUUUUGUUGUAGGCUGAGAUUGGGGUGCAAUCUGUUUAUCCUUAGAUUUGUUGUAUGACCACCCAGUCCAUCUGUCACCUUGACUUUGAAGCUGUAAUUUUAAUGUUUGGCUCUGUAAAUGUUUAAAGCAUCAUUACAAAUUUACAAAGGGAAAGAUACUGCUAACGGUGCAGCUGAAAUAAGACUGUCUCAGCUCACUUGUCUUUACUCCAAGACUUUCACUGCUGUGUGCCUGUGUUUUAAGCUGAAAUGAUAUCACAACAGUGAAGUAAUGCUGCAUUGUACUGCAGGAUCCAUUUUGGACAGCUCUAUUCUCUAGCCUGCAUUGCUUUUUCAAAAAGUCACAAUGUACAAUGGAUGUUCUCUUUAUUCACUUGUGAAAGGUAUGAAUUCAUGUAUUUUUCUAACAUACACUCAGCAAAAAAAGCAGUGUAAGUAUACUUGAAAAAAAAAAAAAAAAGAAAAUAGAAUAAUAAUGUUGAUUUACUUUCCAGCUCACUAUCUAUAUAUAGUUAGAAAUGUAUAUUUAAUUUUCUGUAAAUUUGCAAGCUUUUUAACUGUGUAAUAUAUAUAAAAUUUGAAAUCCACACUGUAUUUCUCUGUUUGACUCUAUUUGUUUAAGCUAUGUAUUUGUGUACCAAUCAGACCUAUGAUAGUUUUAUUUAACUUCACAGUCCUUUUUCUGUGAAAGAAAAUUGUCUUUUUCUGCUUCCCAUUCAGUAGUAC